GGAAUCUUCUUGAAGGGCUGACACGCGAGAUUCUGAGAGAGCAACCGGACAAUAUACCAGCUUUUGCAGCAGCCUAUUUUGAGAGCCUUCUAGAGAAAAGAGAGAAAACCAACUUUGAUCCAGCAGAAUGGGGGAGUAAGGUAGAAGACCGCUUCUAUAACAAUCAUGCAUUCGAGGAGCAAGAACCACCUGAGAAAAGUGAUCCUAAACAAGAAGAGUCUCAGAUAUCUGGGAAGGAGGAAGAGACAUCAGUCACCAUCUUAGACUCUUCUGAGGAAGAUAAGGAAAAAGAAGAGGUUGCUGCUGUCAAAAUCCAAGCUGCCUUCCGGGGACACAUAGCCAGAGAGGAGGCAAAGAAAAUGAAAACAAAUAGUCUUCAAAAUGAGGAAAAAGAGGAAAACAAGCUUACAGAGGAAAAGAAAUCAGUUCUCCUCCAGGAUUCCAGCUGUUCGUCCCUCCCAUUCCACUGAAAGCACCAGCUUCUAACACCUUCCCCUCUCAGACAGAGCCAUCCUGCUUAGAGGAUUGUCAAGGGGGGACCCAGAAUUUAUGCAAAGACUUAGAUUCCCUGACCUGGAGAGAUCAGAAGAGGAAAAAAGGGAUUUUUUCCCUAGUGAGUAUAUAGCAGGAAAAAAAAAGAGAUGAGUUAGCUUUUUCAGUAAUUCUCCUGUUAUACACAUAAAGUGACUAACACUAUGCAUUCCAUACACACACACACACACACACACACACACACACAGAUCUCGUGGUAGUGAUAUUUGUAGUGAAGGAGGAAAAGGAAAAGGUGAGCAAUGGAUGUGAUAUUAUGAGAACAACACAUAUGAAUGACACUUUAUUAGAACUUAUCUGGUUUUCCUCUUAUCUCUCUGGCUGUUCCUUCUCAAUUCCCUUCACUGGUAACUCUUCAACUCCCCAACCACUAAA
rnacentral:sRNA from 1 species